AUUUAAAUAGUUUAAUGAAAAUGUUGAUUUGUGGUGUCAUCGAUAAGAGUAUUCUUUUUAAAUU
rnacentral:tRNA from 1 species